ACCCACUGAGCAUUUUAUGGUCUAAAAGAGGUCUAAUAGGCGUCUAAAUGUAGUCUAGACCACGGUCUAAAAUCAGCCUACCACAGGUCUAAAAAUGAAAGUUUUCAGACGUGUAAAUUUAGACCGAGUUUAGACUAGCCAGCUAACAGAGGUCUACCAGUAUAUUGCUCAACGGCUAUCAUAAUUAUUUUGGUUUAGUACCUGGAGAAAAAUAACUUGACGUCAAAUAGCUGUCUAUUGCUCAGUGGGUUACUAUUAAUAUUGCAUUUCUUAUUGCGUGUUACCCUAUAGUUUGACUUUGAUGUUUUAUGCUUGUGUUUGGACUACAUUUACAUGUGCUUGGCUAUUUUCAUAAACAAACAUUUAACCCUCUCGUAUAAAAAAAAAACAAACUGCGUGUAGCAAGAAGCUCAAGCCCACAUUAGCCAAUCAGAAUCCCACAUAGAAGCAACAACAACAAUAUCCCUUCCUUCUUCUCCGCGCACAAUCUGCUGUCAGCUACCCAAAUCUCAGUUUUCCAAAAUCUCCACUCUGGCUGGAGUUUUUAAAAUGCAUCAGUUUCAGGGGCGAAUGAUGGUUGAUGUCUUUGUUUUUAUAAAUAACUGGGUAGGUCUAAACAUGGCCUAAAUCAACCACAAAAUGUUUGUCAGGUUUCACUGUUGAUUGUGUUUUCCCUGCAGACAAAGAGAGACCAUGUCUUUUAAGCAAUCACUGCCCACUUGACUCACAUCACAACAAUUACAGUCAUUUAAGAACAUCCCCAAAUAAUCUAGGUGUGAAAAUGCCCUUUAAUACUGACAGCUCAAGACUCCACUGAUCUUGAGAUUUUGGUGAAUUCUACGUCACGAUCAGCAAUCGUUAUCUGCAUAACGCAUUAAUUUUCGUCUUUCAUUUUACCCUUCAUCAAACCACAAAUACAACAUGAAGAUCUAAAUUUGUCAUUCAGCUGGAAUAAGGAAAACAAAAUAAGCAGAGCAGAGAGAAAUAUGAAACAUAUUCAAAGUAGACCCAGCUGAUGGGAUGUGAGGAUGAGGACGGGCUGAGUCAGUCGUCUCGUGCAGAGCCUGAUGACUGUUUGUGCUCAGUGUCAGGAUCAAAACAUCACAGAGAAACAACACCCCUCUUCUUCCUCUGCCUCGCCUUUGAAACCAUGCUACACCCUGAUAUUUUCCAGCUCCAACAAAGUGUGGGACACUUUAAUGUCAACACCAGCCGUUAGUCAUCAUUAAGUGAUGUUUGUGCGGUGACAGUUUUCCUCCUUGUAGUUUGUUCUGAUCCUUGUUAACACCCGACUCAUCCACACAAACAUUUACAUAUGUGGCUGUUGGGAACACGAGCCCAGAAACAAACAGAGCAGCCCGACCUCACAGAUCUCCGAUGGAGCAUGUCUAUGUUUGCAUGCUAACAAUUUUCUUGUGUCUUAUAGUCAUCAUGGUGGUCACACAGUUUAAAGAUCUACAAGGUUGAUACUGUGUGAACCAGAGGUCAGUGUGUCAUUUCUCGGUGUGAGCAAUAGAAGAAAUGGAGCAAACAAAUCUCAGUUAUUCAAUCAGGAGUUCUCAUUUUGUUGUCCCACUUUUGGGGACCCUGUUCCUGUUUCAGAAAUAGUGCAGGGAGAUUUUUGGGUGUAUCAUGGGUUGCGGUUCUGCUUCUCAGCUGCUGCAAAACAAUCCAUCCCAUGUUGCUCCAUUGCUGCAAAAGAAACCUGAAGCUGCGACUCAGCUGCUGCAAAGACACUCAUUUUCCUGCUGCUUAAGACACAUGUCUUGUCUGCUUAUCAGCUGUGAGCUAAUUCUGCUACUGCUAAACUGCAGCCUUAUGGGUUUUGUGAUCAUAAACCCUGUGCAGCUGUACUGAAGCACACCAACGACUUGCAGCCCUAAAGGGAUAUUCCGGCAUCAAAUGAAUUCAGGGUCAAACACACCAUAACACCAAGUUAGACACCCCCUCCAGAGAUGAAUGUUGCCGACCGCUUGCUUCUCUAGUUAUACCAACUUUAGUAACAACCGCAGGAUAGCAAUACACAGCGGUUUAUGGAACCACACAAACCUCAACCAAAACACCACUCUAAAGCCACAAAUAAUGCUCAGAACUUCAUCAACAGUACAUAUAGGGCUAGCCAUAGCUAGCCAUAGUACUAGCCACCAAACAUCUUUUAAACUUUGCGUACUUUCUUUAGCAAAGAGACUAAACACAACUCACCCACUUCCUCCAGCAGCCGCUUGUUUGUAGCGAGACCUCAGGCCAGUCCAUCAUUGACUGCAGAGGGGUGUCUUGGUCUGAUUGCAUUUCCAUGAAGAAAUUAUCAUAAAUGUUCUUCCUUGAGCUGCGUCACGCUGCACCAGUCUGUAAUGGACUGGCCCGAGGUCUUGCUACAAACAAGCGGCUGCUAGACGAGAGUAGGUGAGUUGUGUUUAGUCUCUUUGCUAAAGAAAUUAGGAAAUUUGGAGUAAAACAAAAAGGAAAGGGCCCAAAUGCAGAACAAAAAUGAUUUAUUUAAAAAUAACUAAAUAAGAAACAACAAAAACUUACUUAUAAUGUCAAAUUAAAAAAAUCCAAAAUCCAACAAAAGGCACUGGGGGAACAAAUCACCAGGAGACACUGGGGACACUGGCAUAAACACACACCGACAAAGAUACAUACAGCAUACACAUCUAAUGAACCAACAAAGAAACAGGGGAAGACAAUGACUAUAUAUAUACAACAACAGGGAAAUGAGCAACGAGAGGCAGGUGAGACACAGAGACACAGGUGCAGACAAUUACAGAGGGGGGAAACUGAGAAAGUAAAACAAGACUAGAAACACAGGGAAUAAACUACUACAAAAUAAAACAGGAAAAACGGGAAAAAAACAAAAGGAAAAGUAAUUUUGCAUUUAGUUUUCUCAUGAUUUGCCCUGCAGAAUCAGAAAAAUGCCAUAUGAACAAGAAAAACAAGAAAAACAUGAUUUUCAUCAGAGUGGGUCUAUAAAUUAUUUCAAAACCAUCAAACCGGGGUUCAGGCUGUUCCAUCAACAUCAAAAAAUCUUGGCUGGGCUGAAGUCCUGCUGUUUUUUCAGGAUUGCCCAUGAAAGCAGUCAAAUUUAGUCCAAAACCACCAAUGGCUUCAGGUUGUUUCUAAGUUUGUUUUUUAAAGCUGUGCAUAUGAAGAUGGUGUGACCAAAUAACUGCUGGUUUUGGCCUGUAAAUGAGAUUGCUUUACCAGUAAAAUAAUGGCAUUCAUCCUUAUAUAUCUGCUUAUAUUUCUGACAGUUGAUUCCCAUCUCUGAGUGAGACCUUCUGAUGGCCUUUGUGAUUCAGUGAGUGGGUUUAAAGCUCCAGUAUGUAUAACAGAUCUGAAGUUAGGGGUGAUCUGGCUGCAGGAGUUCUUAGUCCUGAUCUGUGAGUGGAUCUGUAUUCAGGACCACAGAGAUCCAGCAGGAAGGAGCUGCUGCAGCGUCGCUCUGAUUCUCUCUGACAGACGGGGGAUGUUUAUUGAAUUAGAUGUGAAAGGGAAAUAAAAGCGUUUUGAGCGCACAGAAACAGUGCAGUGCUGUUUUAAGGGUCCGGACAGCUGACCCCCUCUCUGCUGUUGGUUCUCCGUUAAAGCAGCAGAAUCUGGCAGCGGUUCAGAUCCUCUCUUUUCAUGCCAGCUUCUCUCUCUCUCUCUCCCUCGCUCUCUCUGUGUCUCUCUGCCAGCGCUGACGCCAGCCUGCCCGCCUGUCAGGGCCAAUGUUUCAGGCUGCCAUUAACAGGCCGAGCACAGCUUCCCUCACACAAUGCCUCAAUGUUCAGAGUCACUAAUGAUUCUCUGCUGGCACCCUCUCUGUUAUCACACACCAAUAACAGGUGUGUCAUUGUGUCUGAUGGAGCUCUUUAAAUGCUCACGUUGUAUAUGAAGUGGUAGUUUGGUCAUAUGAUGGUGGUUCCGUCUCGACUCAGCUGUAACCCGGGAUCCCGAGAGCCCUCAGAAAACAGCUUGAAUCUGGAGGCAACCUGAGGACACGCAUGAGCAGAGGAGAGAAAUCUGGGACAGGAAACGCCAAGAUUCACACCACGUCUUGCACCAAACAGAAGGUCCUCUUAAAGGCAAGACGUUCAGAAAAUUAACCAUUUACUGUAAGAGUAGUGGGUUUAUAGUUUACAAUAAUCGAGCGAAGAUACAGGUGAUUUAUAUAGAAGACAAGUAGAUAAGAUAUGCCCCUUUCAGACAUGCACAAAGUUUCUGAAAAUUUCCAGAUAUUACCCCGUAGGCGAGCUUCAUGUGUGAACACAAACAGUUCAGUUUUUCACCCUGACCUCAACCUGGAAUAUCUCCUGCUUGCACCCUUAAAGUCCAGGUAAGUUUAUGUGGGGUGUGGAUGUUUCUCAAGCGGCUGGUGUUCAGCCCACCCACUGAGCAUUUUUUGGUCUCAAAGAGGUUUAACAGACGUCUAAAUGUAGCUUAGACGACUGGUUUAGAAUCAGGCUACCGCAGGUCUAAAAAUUAAAGCUUUUUAGAAAUCUAAAUUUAGAACAAGUUUGGACUA